UCAUUUUUCUCUUUCUUCAUUCUCCUUCUCAAAGGGUUUCUGAAUCUGGAUCUGCUCUCUUCCCAAUUCACACACCUCCUCCAUGAAAGUGUCGAAGAUCAAUUGGAAGAUGAUGAUUUCCAAAGUAAUUGGCAAAUGAAGUAUCUAACCCCGUUUAAUUUUUGGUCGCAACUCACCUGAACCGUCAUGGAAGUUACGUGAUGUGGAAAAUCCGUCUUCAAAAAACAUAAAAAAAUCGAGAGAUUAGGAUGUAGAGAGGUACAAUAGAGACCGUGAAGAUCAGAUUAAGAUUGAUAGAAGCCGAUUUGGGUUUUAUGUUCUAUAAAAGCCAAUUCAGAAGCCACGACAAUUUCUCUUCUUCAACGUAAUUGUCGCCCAAUUAUUUCUCGGAUCUUCUGGUAUUUACAAAGCAGAGUUGGCUAGAUCGUCUGCUUCAACAUCAACUGUUCCGAGAGUGGAUUUUAUGGAUAAAAGGCAAGAAUGUUUUCUGAUCAAAAUGUAGGAAAAUUGUUGAAGAAGAAAACAUGUGUGAGGUAGGUUGGUUGGAUUCUAACGAUGAGGUAGCUAAAUCUCGGGAAAAGUUUGAUUUUGUUAAGAAGAGGUUUCUUAAGAAUCAACAUUUUGGAAGCUUUGGAGAGAAUGCCUAAAACGAAUCCCAAAGUUUCCCUUUUUCACUUGGUAUUUGAGCGACAAUCAUGCGAUGACUAAGAAAGAGUUGAAUUAGUAAAGGAUACGAAGAGGCGUUAUGGACGGGUUUUUCAAUCGGGGUUGUCUUACAAAAAGAACUACCAUUCUACCGGAUAGUGUCAUUCCGUUCAAUUGGUGUUACCAUUCUACCAAUCUGUCUCACAAACUCAAGUCAUAGCUUCCAAUUGAAAUCGAUUCACGAUUCAAGCAGGUUUCUUUUCAAGAUAGGAGGACCGGGGGCUAAUUCCUAGCUUGAUACCUACAACAUUUAUUUUAGAUUGGAUGAUCGAUUCAAUCAUAACAAUAGCUCUGUUUCCAAUAACCAAUUGGUCAUGGGCCUUGGUGGAAAUUAGACAAGAAGGAAAAUAGGUGGAAAUAAGACACGAGGGAAAAUGAUGAUAUCUAUCUUUUAUUCUACUUGCUGGAUUUUGUGGAGAGCACGUAAAGAUGUUUACAAGGAGAUAUUACGAGAUUUAUGAAUUUUUUUGUAUAUUUUUUGAGUUUUAAUAUAUAUUAACUUU
rnacentral:lncRNA from 1 species